rnacentral:lncRNA from 1 species
ACCGAGACUGGAGAUUGGACUCGAACUAUCAUUGGAGCCGGGUUGCUGUCUCGCCUCUUCGAUGUCACGGAGACCUGCUCUUUCGUUGGUCCGGUCCAGAGAAUUGGAAAAAAGAAGUCGUCCCGGGUAAUCUCUAUAACACGAAAGCUGACCCUACGAUCAGGCUGGAAUCAGGCAUUCGUUCGGCCACGUCGCCCUUAUUUCUCGCCCAUUCGAUUCUGAUCGGGCGGUUCGAAUAGGUUCUCGCGAAUUCUCUGGAGUCCGCAUGGUUCGCCGCCUGCCAUCCCUCCGGCACCGCCGCUGGCUCGCCUCAUUCGGCCUCCCCCUCCUGCCCAACUGCCAUCACGCGUCCCCUUCACCAUGUACCGCCACCUCUCCUGGUAGCACGCUGCCCCGAGAGGCGGCACAAAUGGAUGCGCUCACGUGCUCCGAGAGGAGCAUGGCUGCUCCGUCAAUCUGUCCGCGGACCGGGAACGAGAUGGCAGCCAGGUUGCUCGACUAAAUGCCGUGCAUAGAAGGCGCUGCCGAGCGGUGACUGCCCAAACGAGGACUUGAGAUGAGGGUGCCUGCUUCUAGCGCCACACCAUGCGCACGGCCUCCCAUAGUUCCAUGCAUGCUCGCCUCCACUUCUGUUCCAUCUAUCCGAGCUCUGCCGUCUUGAGGAGGGCGUUCGAGCGUACGCAGGCAAACUGCUCGACUAAAUGCCACUGCUGGUUGCGGCAGCAUGCUAAGGACGUCUAAGGGUAAACUGAAGCUCCUCCUCCUGAUUCCUGAAGGAUCUCGGUGCUCCUGCUUCAAGUGGCGUAUCCUCAGCAACUCCGAUUAUCUAAGAAAGUGCCAUGGUGGCGGGUCCUCUCAAGGCAGAACAUUAGCGUCAGUGCUUGACUGCUUGUCUUAUCAGAUGUGCGCAUCUUCUUAAUAUCCAACACAAAAAAAGGAAGAUAGUUGCCAUACAUAUGCCAUAUAUAUAAUGUUAGGUUGGUAACGAAUUACAGCUUAUUCAAACAACGAUCAGUACUACAGUUCCCACUGUUCUGUUUUGUAUUAUCUUGUUUUCCAUGUAGUUAGUCAACAGCUGUGAUUCCCCAUCACCAAAGGACCAUCUGAAUAUGCCGAGCUUGUGUCCA